UACAGAGGUCUCAAGCGUUGUUCGGAUUCAUUGGGCGUAAAGGGUGCGUAGGCAGCUUAGCAAGUCGGGUGUGAAAGCCCUGGGCUCAACCUAGGAAGUGCACUCGAAACUGCUGAGCUGGAGUCCUGGAGAGGAAGGCGGAAUUCUCGGUGUAGAGGUGAAAUUCGUAGAUAUCGAGAGGAACACCGGUGGCGAAGGCGGCCUUCUGGACAGUGACUGACGCUGAGACGCGAAAGCGUGGGGAGCAAACAGG
rnacentral:rRNA from 1 species